GUGCUUAGCUUUUUGAGUUCUUUAUAUAUCCUAGAGAAUAGUGCUGUAUCUGAUGUAUGAGGGGUAAAAAUUUGCUCCCAGGAUGUAGGCUUCUCUGUUCACCUCACAGAUUGUUGCUUUUGCUGAGAAGAAAUUUUUUAGUUUGAUUCCAUCCUAUUUAUUGAUUCUUGGUUUUAAUUCUUGUGCUAUAGGAGUCUUAUUAAGGAAGUUGGGCCAUAAUCCCACGUGAUGAAGAUUAGAGCCUACUUUUUCUUCUAUUAGACACAGAGUCUCUGGUUUANUUCCUAGGUCCUUGAUCCAUUUUGAGUUAAGUUUUGUGCAUGGUGAGAGAUAGGGGUUUAAUUUCAUUAAAACUGCAAAUGGAUUUCCAGUUUUCCCAGCACCAUUUGUUGAAGAGGCUAUCUUUUCUCCAAUGCAUGUUUUUGGUACCUUUGUCUAAUAUAAGAUAAUUGUAAUUUUGGGGUUAAUUUCUCUGUCCUCUAUUCUGUAACAUUGGUCUACCAGUCUAUUUUGGUGCCAGUACCAUGCUGUUUUGUUACUAUUGCCCUGUAGUAUAGUUUAAGGUCUGGUAUAGUGAUGCCACCUGUUUUACUCUUCCUGCUAAGGAUUGCUUUAGCUAUUCUGGAUCUCUUAUUUUUCCAGAUGAAUUUCAUGAUUUAUUUUUCUAUUUCUAUUAGGAAUUCCAUUGUGAUUUUGUUCAGAAUUGCAUUAAAUCUGUAUAGUGCUUUUGGUACUAUGGUCAUUUUGAUAAUAUUAAUUCUGCCUAUCCAAGAGCGAGGUAGAUGUUUCUAUCUUCUAAGGUCUUCUUUGAUUUCUCUCUUUAGGGUUCUGUAGUUUUCUUUGUAUAGCUCUUUCACCUCUUUCAUUAAGUUGAUUCCCAAAUAUCUCAUUUUUUUUUUUUGAGGUUAUUGUGAAUGGGGUAGUUUUCCUCAUUUCCUUCUCAGAAGUAUUGUCAGUGAUAUAUAGAAAUGCCUUUGAUUUAUGGAUGUUGAUUUUAUAUCCUGCUACUUUGCUGAAUUCAUUUACUAGUUCUAAAAGUUUUCUGAUGGAGUUUUUUGGGCCUUCUAGGUAUAGAAUCAUAUCAUCAGUAAAUAGUGCUAAUUUAAGUUCUUCUUUUCCUAUACAUAUCCCUUUGAUUUCUUUCAUCUAAUUGCUCUGGCCAGUGUUUCAAGAACUAUGUUGAAUAGAAGUGGUGAAAGAGGGCAUCUCUGUCUUGUUCCAGUUUUUAGAGGGAAUGCCUUCAAUUUUUCUCCAUUUAGAGUGAUGUUGUUCUGAGGCUUAUCGUAGAUAGCCUUUACGAUAUUGAGAUAUGAUCCUGUUAUCCCUAGUUUUUCUAGUAUGUUGAAUAUAAAGGAGUGCUAUAUUUUGUCAAAUGCUUUUUCUGUGUCUAUUGAGAUGAUCACAUGCUUCUUAUCUUUAAGUCUAUUGAUGUGGUGAAUUACAUUUAUUGAUUUCCAUAUUAUGAGCCAACCUUGUAUCCCUAGGGUGAAUCCACUUGAUGAUGGUGCACAAUCUUUUUGAUGUUUUUCUAUUCGAUUUGCCAGGAUUUUGCAAAUCGAAUAGAAAAACAUCAAAUUUUUGCGUCUACGUUCAUUAGAGAUAUUGGUCUGAAGUUUUCUUUCUUUGAUGUGUCUUUGCCUGGUUUUGAGACCAGGGUGAUAUUGGCCUCAUAGAAUGAGUUUGGAAUUACUGCCUCUUUUUCUCUUUCCUGCAAUAAAUUGAAGAGUAGUUGUAUUGGUUUUUCUUUAAAGAUCUUGUAGAAUUUGGCUGUGUAUCCAUCUGGUCCUGGACUUUUCUUGGUUGGUAAGCUUUUUAUGGUUUCUUCUAUGUCCUCACUUGAUAUUGGUCUGUUUAAAUUGUGUAUAUCUUUCUGACUCAAUCUGGGCAAAUUGUAUGACUUAAUAAAUUUGUCAAUGCCUUCAGUGUCUUCUAUCUUAUUGGAGUAUAAGAUUUCAAAAUAAUUUCUAAUUAUCCUCUGUAUUUCUGUAGUGUCUGUUGUGAUAUUAACUUUUUCAUUAUGUAUACUGGUAAUUUUUGUUCUCUCUUUCCUUCUCUUCAUUAGCGUGGCUAAGAGUCUGUCAAUUUUAUUUAUUUUUUCAAAGAACCAACUUUUUGUUUUGUCAAUUUUUUCAAUUGUUUCUUUUGUUUCGAUUUCAUUGAUUUCAGCUCUAAUUUUAAUUAUUUCUUGCCUUCUACUGCUUUUGCUACUGGUUUGUUCUUCUUUUUCUAGGGCUUUGAGAUGUAGUGUAAGGUCAUUUAUUUGUUGACAUUUUCUUCUUUUAAGGAAUGAACUCCAUGCAAUGAAUAUUCCUCUUAGUACUGCUUUCACAGUGUCCCAGAGAUUUCUAUAUGUUGUGUCUAUGUUCUCAUUUACUUCUAGGAAUUUUUUAAUCUCCUCCUUGAUGUCUUCUGUGACCCAUUGUUCAUUCAGUAUCAUAUUGUUUAGUUUCCAGGUGAUGGAGAAAUUUUUAUGUUUUAUUUUGUCAUUGAUUUACAAUUUCAUUCCAUUAUGACCUGUAAAAUGCAUGAUAGUAUCUCUACUUUUUUGUAUUUGCUAAGAGUUGCUUUUUGUCAUAGGAUAUUAUCUAUUUUAGAGAAGGAUCCAUGUGCUACUGAGAAAAAAGUGUAUCUGCUUGAUGCAGGUUGAAGUAUUCUAUAUAUGUCAGUUAAGUGUAAGUUAUUAAUUGUGUUAUUAUUGAGUUCCGUAGUUUCUUUAUUCAACUUUUGUUUGGAAGAUCUAUCCAGUGGCUAGAGAGGUGUGUUAAAGUCACCCAAGAUUAUUGUUUUGUGGUUAAUUUGACUCUUGAACUUGAGAAGCGUUUGUUUGAUGAACAUAGUUGCACCAUUGUUUGGGACAUACAUAUUUAUGAUUGUUAUGUCUUAUUGGUGUAUGCUUCCCUUGAUGAGUUUGUAAUGUCCAUCUUUAUCCCUUUUGAUUAACCUUGGCUUGAAGUCUACUUUAUUUUAUAUGAGUUUGGAAACCCCUGCUUGCUUUCACAGUCUAUGUUAGUGGUAUGAUUAUUUGGAACCUUUCAACUUUAGUCUGUGUAUGUCUUUUCCUAUCACAUGAGUCUCCUGGAGGCAGCAUAUUGUUGGAUCUUUUUUUUAAUCCAAUUUGCUAGCUUGUCUUUUGAUUGGUGAGUUUAAGCCAUUAACAUUUAGGGUUACUAUUGAGACAUGGUUUGUAUUUCCAGCCAUAUUUGUUUAUUUUUGUUAUUUAACUUGAAUUAGUUUUCCUCUUUGAUUAGUUUUUCCUUUACUGUACCACCUCCCUCUGAUGAUUUUCAUUACUGUUUUUCAUUUCCUCUUCAUGAAAUGUUUUGACAAGGAUGUUUUGUAGUGCUGGUUUUCUAGCUAUAAAUUCUUUUAUUUUUUGUUUAUUGUGGAAGGGUUUUAUUUCAUCUUCAAAUAUAAAGUUUAAUUUUGCUGGACACAAGAUUCUUGGUUGGCAUCCAUUAUCUUUCAGAGCUUGAUAUAUGUUGUUCCAGGAUCUUCUAGCCUUCAGGGUCUGUGUUGAAAAAUCUGCCAUUAUCCUAAUUGGUUUUCCCUUAUAUGCAAUCUGAUUCCUUUCUCUGUGGCUUUUAAAAUUCUCUCCUUAUUCUGUAUGUUGGGCAUUUUCAUUAUAAUGUGCCUUGGUAAGGGUCUGUUGUGAUUGUGUACAUCUGGCAUCCUGUAGGCUUUUUGAAUUUGCAUUUCCAAUUCAUUCUUCAUGUUUGGAAAGUUUUCUGAUAUUAUUUCACUGAAUAGAUUGUUCAUUCCUUUCGUUUGGACCUCUAUGCCUUUCUGUUUCCCAAUAACUCUUAAAUUUGCUCUUUUUUAUGCUAGCCCAUAUUUCUUGGAUGUUCUGCUCAUGGUUUCUUAUCAUUUUUGCUGUGUGGUCUACUUUCUUUUCAAGAUUAUUUAUUUGAUCUUCAUUGUCUGAUGUCCUAUCUUCUAAGUGGGCUACUCUGUUGGUGUUGCUUUCAUUUGAGUUUUUAAUUUGGUUUAUUAUUUCUUUAAUUUCAAAGAUUUCAUUUUUUUUGUAUAACCUCUAUCUCCUUGUUGAGGUGAUCUUUUGCUUCUUAGAUUUGUUUAUGUAGCUUAUUGUCAAAGCGAUAUUUCACUGCCUGUAAUUGUUCUCUUACAUCUUCUUUGAGAUCCUAAAACAUUUUAACCAUGUAUAUCCUGAAAUCUUUCUCUGUCAUUUUUUUCUGCUAUAGCUACCAUUUCUUCUAAUGUUGUAUUUUCUUGAUUUGUUGGUGGUACUUUCUUCCCUUGUCUUUUCAUGUUGCUCACGUGUCUUCCUUUCCAACUCUGUGGAUCUGGUGUGUCAUUGUUUUUACUCUAUAGAUUUGUAGUGUUCUUGUAGGGUUCCAAGAUCUCUCUUUUGUGGGGAAGACAAUGUUAACAGAUCCCAAUAUCAACAAUACAUCACCUGCUAAAUGGCUAUAGGAUCUGAUAGCCACACCCACCACAAAAUGGUGACGAAGGUUUUCCAAGAUAGAGAUGGUCUGUUUCCAGCGCUGCUGAUGUGGGGGGAGCUGGGUAAUGGCCUUGUGCUGUGGAUAGCUAGCAGCCAUGUGACUUGUGUGGGAUCGGUGUGCAGUCUGGAGUUCUGUAGAGGUUCUGAUAGAUGAUUCUGCUAAGCCGCUUCUGAGCUGUGCAUGGGCUAGAACUUCGGGCUUUGGGUCCGGAGACUUACUUGAGCCCAGAGGCACUGAUUUCUGCACGGAUGGUCGCAGUGCUGAUCGAUGGAUUUUUUGAGAGCCAUGCUGUUUCUGGAACACAUGCAGAUUCCAGAACUUUCAUGUAAAGUUAUGAAUGAGAAGAUCAGUUACUUGAAACUGGUAAUCAACCACCUUCCUGUGCAUUCAAGGAGCAACAGAAAUGAAGAGUCACAAUAGGGGUCACUCCCAGCAAUGACCUCUGUCAGGCCUGCAGCCUCUUCCUUGUGCUUCCUCACAUUGCCACACAGAGGCAGAAUGCAGGGGUGUUGGUCUCUUUUCUUCCCUAUUCUAUUCUGCACACACAGAAGAGAAUCUGGUUUUCUUCUCUUUCCCAGUCCCUUAAGUUCUGAGUACUGUGCUCAUAUUUCUUGGGUUUCAAGAUGUGAAAAAAGCACCAUACUCUUUAUCUUCUCACUAAUACGAGGAAAGCCAGGGCAUCUGCACAUGCCUUAAGGCCACCAGAACAAAAGCCAACCCAGCCCCCACUGUAAGUCACUGCCAGAUUCCAAACCAUCAGAGCCAACAACUCUGUGAAGAGCACAGGACUUGGGAUACUGCUAAGGUUUUGGUUCCCCUGUGAAUAAACUGAAGUAGACUAACAGCCAAAGCACCAUCCAGUUCUCAUAUUUUGAGAUUCUAAAUGAAAAUUUUCAAUGUCAGCUUGGAUCAGAGGUAGGCUCUUUGAGAUGCCAUGAGGAGUAAGCAAGCAUUCUUGCUGUGAUCUCAGCUUCCUGGGUAUGUGCAUUCUUGGUCCUUUCUUUGAUUCUCAACCAUGUCAUAAACCACUGAGCCUCCGAGCAAGUACAAAACCAGUUCCAUUUCUGAAAAAGGGAAAAUAACUUGCCUCGAUCAUGUGCAGUGUUUUUNAAAAAAAAAAAAAAAAAAAAAAAG
rnacentral:lncRNA from 1 species